UGCAUAUUAUUUAAACUGUGAGGAAUCAAUGAGGUCUGCAAUAUGAGCAGAUCUUUAAUAUGAACAGAGUGUGUUUGUCUGUCUUCUGUGAGCCAAGGAGAAAAACCAAAAAAGGAAAGAGAAACAACUUUGGUUUGUAGUGGAUCAUCAGUAAGGUGCUUUGAUGUUUUUGCAUUUGGAACAUAACUGACUUCAGGCCACGCUGAGAAGUGUGGAAACCAGGCUUGAACCUCCAUUUCCAGCAAUCAGUGCUUCCUCACCAAUCCGUGAAAGUCCUUCUGAUGUUUUAGACUUGUUAAGUCUCCUAAAGAACCGAUACGUGACAGAUGAACAAUGUCAAGCAUGGUGGGACAUUUUCUGCAAAAAAUUAAUCCUCUUGAUAAACUGCUGCUGUGCUCAGGACCUUGAUCUCCAUGAAGGGCGGAUUCCAAGCAGAGCACAAAAAAGAAUGCCACUGAAGUGUAAUUUAUGGAUUUUACUGGAGUGCUUUGGAUAUCUGUGUCCACAAAACAGAGAGAACAAUGCACUCUCAACAUAAAUUGGUCCUGACUAGCGGAGAGGAUAGAGCUCAGAAUACAUGGUGGUGUCAUGAAGGAUUGUAUGCUUAUCCCUGCUGAUCCAUUUUUACUCUCCCACCUACAAAAUAACUCUUCCUCCUUCACACAAGGCUCACAGAACAUUUUGGAUGAGGAGGCAGAAAGAUUGUAAGAGCCAGAGGAUCAAUGAGUUUUCUUUGAGACUGUGUUUUCUAGCGACAUCAGCAGCUAAACUCAUAAAGUGUCACCACCAUGACUGACUAAACAUGAGGUGAACAAGGACACCAAUAAGCGUGCCAAAGUGGAUGCCUGCUGAGAGGAGACAACCAGACCUCAAACCUAUAAAAAACAAGACAAAGACAACACGGAAUGCUGACAGUGGGAGACAUAGUCUUCCCUUGGAAGAUCACAACUGGUUACUCAGUAACAAUUGCUCAGUCCUGAAAACACACAUAUACAUAGCCUAAACUGGUUUUAAAAGUAGGUGUGUACUCACGUGAAAGUCAUACACAUUGCCAGAAAA